AUAUUGGGCCUAAAAGGUUUUUUGUAAAUAGGAUGAAGGCAUUGUAGUUCAUAUUUUUAAAUUCUUUUUUUAAUUGUUGUGUGACACUUUAAAGCGUUUUGUUAUGUCAGAGUUUAUUUCAAUCUGCCGCUAUUGUGUUGGUCUAGAGUAGUCAUCAGUGUCAGGGUUCCUGUGUGUGUAUGUGAGUGCGAGUGUCGCAUCUUAUUUCAGCGAGGAUCUUUGUGAGGAGCCCAUGGAGCUUGGCACAGGUGGAGGAGCAGCAGAAUCUUCAGUCUACGCUAGAUUGACUGAAGAUUCUACUGGUGUAUGCUAGAUGGUUGCAUACACCGGUAGUCACUCUGGCCUCUCCUGUUGUGAACAGUUUUCUGAGAACGUUUCUGUGUCUACUAGAAGUCACCUGGUCUCUGUGUUUGUUCGAUCCUAGGGGUUUUGUCGCCUCAUUCGAGAACUCACCAGUGAAUACCUGCCUGCUCGCUCCGCCGAUUCCACUGCCUCCACUCCACCCUUCGAGUUUCCAGCUCUCUUCCAUUCCCACCUCGCAUUUACCUUCGGAACCGCUGCACACCCUCUCUCAGGAACCUGGCAUCUCACACCCACGCCUCGAAAGACCCGCACCGAAGCUUCAAGAGGAUCAGCGUGUGAAGAUCACUUUAUAAUGAUUUGAAAAAGGUUGCCAUGGCUACAGAAAUUGGAGGAGCAUCCUUAGAUGACACAAUACAACCAGCUGUGCGAUUCCUCAUGUCCCAUGAACUGGAAGUCCAGUUCAACCUUUUUGGCCAA